AUUGAACGCUGGCGGCAGGCCUAACACAUGCAAGUCGAGCGGAGCGGCGGACGGGUGCGUAAUGCCUAGGAAUCUGCCUGGUAGUGGGGGAUAACGUCCGGAAACGGGCGCUAAUACCGCAUACUAUCAGAUGAGCCUAGGUCGGAUUAGCUAGUAGGUGGGGUAACGGCUCACCUAGGCGACGAUCCCUAGCUGGUCUGAGAGGAUGACCAGCCACACUGGAACUGAGACACGGUCCAGACUCCUACGGGAGGCAGCAGUGGGGAAUAUUGCACAAUGGGCGCAAGCCUGAUGCAGCCAUGCCGCGUGUGUGAAGAAGGCCUUAUGGUUGUAAAGCACUUUAAGCGAGGAGGCGUUACUCGCAGAAUAAGCACCGGCUAACUCUGUACCAGCAGCCGCGGUAAUUC
rnacentral:rRNA from 1 species